UACGAAGGUGGCAAGCGUUACUCGGAAUUACUAGGCGUAAAGGGCAGGUAGGUGGUUUGGUAAGUCUGUUGUGAAAGCUCCUUGCUUAACGGGGAGAGGCCAACAGAUACUGCCAAGCUUGAGUAUGGGAGAGGGUACUGGAAUUCCCGGUGUAGCGGUGAAAUGCGCAGAGAUCGGGAGGAACACCAAUGGCGAAAGCAGGUACCUGGACCAUUACUGACACUCAGCUGCGAAAGCUAGGGGAGCAAACAGGG
rnacentral:rRNA from 1 species